ensembl:lncRNA LINC01917 long intergenic non-protein coding RNA 1917
AGAUGAGUUGUGAUUCAUUGCUUGGGUACAGAAGAACUCUGAACAAGAUCAAGGUUCUAUCAGUGAUAAAUAAGGGAGGCUAAGGUAUUGAGGAACCAUAUAAUGUUAUUUACACUACCUACUUUCUAAUCUGCCUCAUCUACUCACCUUCCUCUUUCUCUUCCUGUAAUCUUAUUGCAUGGAAGAAAUUUUUGGUGAAGACAAGUUGUCUGUUUUUCUUAAAAUCAUUUUUUUAGCUAGUGGUAUGUCUCGAACACUUUCCUAAUAGUUCAUUGAGAUAAAGUCAUAACAUUUUUUUUUUCUUUCUUCGCUACCCUCACUCAUUGCCCCAUUGGAAUUGACUGCAAAUUGCAAUUUUCUAGAGAAAGAAUCAGUAAUCCUUUCUACACAGUGGCCUUGGUGAUUUCAAAACUUUAAGAAUAUUUAAAAUAUUCAAGUUCUUUCUCCAAAAACUGGUGACUUUCUGCUGCUGAGCUCCUGAAAGUUUUUGAGAAGAAAGUUGAAAGGUUGAAAAUGGUGCUGUGUUUAUUUGAAUAUCUGAAGGGUAAACUCCAAGCUACUUAUCUGAAAACAAAUAUUCUCUGAAACCUGCAGAGUAAAGAAGUAUAACUUGACAUUUCUUCUGCAAGAAAAAAACAAGAAGAUGGUGACUUUCAAGACCUCAGUCAAUGACUAAAGUUCUGUGACCACAGUGAGCAUAUUACUGCGGUAACCAGGGCAGUAAUGUCAAGACAAAGGUCAGGGUUGGCUUUAAGAAAGAAGCCUGAGAACCGGAACUACAUAGAGGCCAGAAAAUCAGUGUCUACAUGCUAAAGGCAAUUUUCAGGAACAAGUACCAGGAGCAGAUCAACAAAACAAAGAAGAUCAACAAAACAAAUAAGGAAGGUGGUUUUAUGAACCCAGAGGGGCAGUGGUUAUGAGUUGUGGUGCCACUUUAUUCAACCUUAUCUGCUUGGAAGUUUUUCUCCUACACCAUUAAACCCCUCACUGAACCAAACUUUGUACAGACUGCAGCCAAGAAGGGCUGUAUUAUGGCUUUCUUGGACCUCUUCAUCCACAAAAAUAUUAAAAAUUGUAUUUCAUGACUUAA